GGGGCCUGCUUGAGAAAGGGGAACAGCACCUGACUUGGGUGGGGGAGCACAGGCAGCUCUGCCUCUCUUCUGCAAGGUGCCAUGCAUGGUUUGGGCAGGAUUUGCCUUCCAGCUCUCCACUGACCUCUCAGGGAUGCGCCUUCUAUUAUGACGUGGAAUUUUAAAUCACUAACUUCAUCCUGAGUUCCAUAAGGAGAAGGCUUUCCUGCAAUAGAAGCUCUUGUCUCCACUGCACAGGCCCUGCAGACUUCUUCCUGGUGUCAAUGUGAGUUGAUUCUACUUGCUUCUUUGGAGAAUGUUUUGACUUUCUCCCCACUGUUGUUCACCUCUGCCAACCUGUUCCAUGUGAUAACUAACAGAAAAGGAAUAAUAAAUAACCCUUGCAACAUGAGACAGUUAUUCAGAUUGUUGCUAAUCUUUCUCAUCAG
rnacentral:lncRNA from 1 species